rnacentral:rRNA from 1 species
UGCAGAAUCCCGUGAACCAUCGAGUUUUUGAACGCAAGUUGCGCCCGAAGCCAUUCGGCCGAGGGCACGUCUGCCUGGGCGUCACAC